UUUGCCUGAGCUUGUGGUGUGAUCACAGACACCGGGAGAGGUGACGAACCCUGAGCAGAGGUGAGGCCGAGGCUUCUCACGGUCACGCCUCAGCUCGUCGCUGGACCGUUGAUCUGGGGCCUUUACGUGUAGUUCCGCCACCGGCCUGACGGGGGCGCUGUGGCUCUGCUAAAACUUUGAUUAGUGUUGACCAGCGCAGGUCAACAGGAAGUGCUGGAUCGGAGCAGAAAACAUCCGGACGUCCGCGGCAGUUCGUGUACGCGUCACAGGUGUGAUGAAGCAGCAACAGGAUGCAGCAGCGGUGACGUGACCGACGACUGGAGGCAUAAAUCUGUCCCCCUUCGUCCGUGUUCCUCUGCGGAGCGAGAGAAAUCGCAGUUGCUCCCGCUCCUCUCAGUAUAUAAACAUUCGGGCUCACGCUGCUGUCUAAGAGAUAUAGCUGUUGUGCUUUUCUACACCUUGUUAUCUCACCCUCCACUUAAAUAGUUAGUUUGGCCUCCUCUCUCUGAGAUGUGUGCAGUGGAGAUAAUUACAAUUUCAGCAACGUUUGCCAGCCACAGUGAUUUGUAUGCUGGGGCGAAAGGACAACGGUGGAUUGGAGGCAGAAAAACAGCCACUCGUUGCCGUUCCCCCAGUCGCUGGUGAAAGAUGAGCAGACGAG